CCACCUCUCUCCCUUUUGUGUUUGCAGCCUUAAUGCAAUGGUGGAGUAACUAGCGCCUGCAAUGACUGCUUGGUUGAAGAUACUCGCUAACGAGAUUUGGAGGCGGGCACAGCAUGGUAGUCCUUCCUGAAGAUACGUGUAUGGAGGAGGACACAUAAACGACAUUACUCCAUCUUCCCAGUGGCUAUAACUCGUAUAGGAGAUUCUGCACUCUGCAGGUGUCAGACUCAAUGGAAUUAGAUGGAAAAGCCUGGAUGGAUGUCUUCCACCCCUGCGGUAUGGUGCUGUUAGGAUUCUGAUCACUUUGCAAGCAGAAAUAAGAGGAAUGCAAGCCUUAGAGUCUGCGUAUGUGGAGCUGUAUAUUAUUAUUUGUAUUGUGGUAGCUAUGUUGUGUUAGUACUAUGCAAACAUCAACAAAAGAGCAUUCCUACCCUGAAGAGUUUACAAUCUAAUUAUAAGACAGGAGGCAAGAGGUGGAUGCAAGUAGCAGAUGUGGAAAGUACAAGGUAACAAUCUGACAACUAUGAUCAGCGGGAUAGGCACUGGUCACAGCACAUCUACUAACAUCAUAACUCUCCUUCUCCUUUAUCUGUCAAAUGUUUUGGCAAAUCUAGAUGGAAGAGGGGAGGGAACAAAUGAGAAGGCUUGGAAACAGAGUGAUUAAUUAUUAAGGUGUCCAGAUCUCUUUACUAGUGUCUCCCUUAAGCCACAUUUAUGUGACUAGAACAGGAGUACUUGUGACACCUUAUGCUCUAAUUAAUUUGUUAGUCUCUAAGGUGCCACAAGUACUCCUGUUCUUUUUGCGGAUACAGACUAACACGGCUGCUACUCUGAAACCUGUCAUUUAUGUGAAUGUUUUUGAUCUUCAAGGUAAGCCUCAUUGGAUGUGUGUUCUUCAUAUGAAAAGUCUCAAAGGAACACACCCAAAGAAUAGUGCCUUUCAUGGGAAAAAUUACCACUGCUGCUACCACUUCUCAGCCUGUUAAUGUAAAAUGGAUCCAAAUGUCACUACUGCCUUAAAAGAAGUUUAUUUCCCCAAAUAUCUCCCCCUAAACGUAUUCAGCUAGAUUUUCCAGAUGGAGUAAAUUAACAUCACUCCAUUAAAAUUAUGUCAGUUUACACCAGCUGCAGAUUGGCUGUCUGUUCAGACUAUCAAAAUCUUUUAACUAAUUUAUCUAAGAAAAUGCAUGGAGAUGAGGGUGAGAAAAAGGAAAGGAGAGGGGAAGAAGGUCCUGUGAAAGGAGAGAAGUGUUAGACAAAUCAUCAUCAACCAUCUCAUUGACCCCAGGUAGCAUCAGGUUAACAACCUGCAUCUCAGCAGUAGUGACAUUUGUGACGUUUCACUCCAUAUUCUUUAUGAAAAUAUGCUUAUGAUAUGAAUGACAUAAAUGAGAUAUACUGCAUGCAAGAUGGCUCAUGUAAGAUAUCAUUGGAAAAGUUAUGAUUUACUGAAUGUGAUUAUCCAAUUUGUAUGCCGGUAUCAUUUCUGUAUCUAAAGUUAGGAAUACUAACUAUGUAUCUGUAUUUCAAAUGUGUUACUUUGGGUAUCUCCCCCAUCUAGCCCGUUAGGUAUAACAAUGGAAAAGCCAGACAGGACUAAUGGCCCAUUAGCAAAGACAAUGGACUGUGAAAGAGCUUAGUCUUCCUGUGGACCUUACAGACAGCCUACGAGUAAUGGUUGCCACAGCCCUGAAGAGACAUGGGCCUGAGUCACCUGGUACUGGACCCACCCCUUUGAAUGCCAGUGUUCUUCUACUGGGAGACAAAGGGUUCCCACCAUACACAAGAGCUAUAUAAGGCAGGGAAGUGACAUCGUGGUUCUCCUUUGCAUCCCCACCCAAAGAGACACUGAAAAACACCUGAAAGCAAGAACUGAACUGAGGGGAGAAGGGUUGAACCCAGGCUGAGAGGGUGUCCAGUCUGUGAGUGGAAAUACCUGAAGUCUCAAGCUGCAGGCCAGUGCAGCUGCCUUUCAAGACUUUCUGUAAUCUACCUGUGACAAUAUUUAGGGUGAGAAAUUACUAUUGGUAACCUAUUUCUUCAGUGAAACAAGCUUAGUAUGCAGAUUUUGUUUUAUUUGCUUAGUAAUCUGCUUUGUUCUGUUU